rnacentral:rRNA from 1 species
UGGCGAACGGGUGAGUAACACGUGGGUGAUCUGCCCUGCACUCUGGGAUAAGCCUGGGAAACUGGGUCUAAUACCGGAUAGGACCAUGCUUCAGUGUGUGUGGUGGAAAGUUUUUUCGGUGUAGGAUGAGCCCGCGGCCUAUCAGCUUGUUGGUGGGGUAAUGGCCUACCAAGGCGGCGACGGGUAGCCGGACUGAGAGGUUGGUCGGCCACAUUGGGACUGAGAUACGGCCCAG